rnacentral:rRNA from 1 species
AUACGUAGGUGGCAAGCGUUGUCCGGAUUUACUGGGUGUAAAGGGCGUGUAGGCGGAGAUGCAAGUCAGGAGUGAAAUCUAGGGGCUCAACCCCUAAACUGCUUUUGAAACUGUAUCCCUUGAGUAUCGGAGAGGCAGGCGGAAUUCCUAGUGUAGCGGUGAAAUGCGUAGAUAUUAGGAGGAACACCAGUGGCGAAGGCGGCCUGCUGGACGACAACUGACGCUGAGGCGCGAAAGCGUGGGGAGCAAACAGGAUGAGAUACCCUGGUAGUCCACGCUGUAAACGAUGAAUACUAGGUGUGGGGGGACUGACCCCCUCCGUGCCGCAGUUAACACAAUAAGUAUUCCACCUGGGGAGUACGAUCGCAAGAUUGAAACUCAAAGGAAUUGACGGGG